GUCCACGCCGUAAACGAUGAUUACUCGUUUUUGUGUUUAAUUACUCAGAGGCUAAGCGAAAGUGAUAAGUAAUCCACCUGGGGAGUACGUCCGCAAGGAUGAAACUCAAAGGAAUUGACGGGGGCCCGCACAAGCGGAGGAUCAUGUGGUUUAAUUCGAUGAUACGCGAGGAACCUUACCAGGGCUUAAAUGGGGAUUGACCGUUUUGGAAACAGAACUUUCGCAAGACAAUUUUCAAGGUGCUGCAUGGUUGUCGU
rnacentral:rRNA from 1 species